rnacentral:lncRNA from 1 species
CCCAGGGAAAGUAAAAAGGAUAUUCUUUCAACACAUACACAGUGAGCACAGCAGAGAGAUACACCAGAUGUUAUGAAGGCUUGCGUCGACCCCAAGAUGCCCUGCCCAGUUGGCUUUUGCCCCAGCUGCUGUGUUAGUUGAUAUGACUGAGUGGCACUCUUCUCAUAAGAAUUCCGUUUCCACAGGUUACACCACCACCCUCCCUGGAUGCAGUGUGCAGUCAGUGAAGGUCUGAUAGGUGCAGCAUGAGCUGAGUGCCAGCCACAAUUGUAGCAGAAGAAGAAACCUAAGAGAGACUGAAUUUUCCGUACAGUUAUGGGUUGAGCAGUGUAGGGGGCCCGGCCCCCCCCCCCCCCCCCGCUGGAACUCUUGAGUGCCUUCUACGGACAUGCCCGGGCUUGUUGCAGAUCUACCCGGCAACAAGGAAGUAGCCCCAGUACACUCCUCUUGCUCCUCCCCUCUCGCCCUACGGUAUAUAUGUUGUAACAGCUUCCGUAAUAAACGAGACUUGAUCAAAAACCUGUCUUGUCUCCAUCUCUCGUGUCCCCUGUCCCCUCUCAUCCUCGCUCCCCCUCUAG